rnacentral:rRNA from 1 species
UACGUAGGGCGCGAGCGUUAAUCGGAAUUACUGGGCGUAAAGCGUGCGCAGGCGGUUCUAUAAGACAGAUGUGAAAUCCCCGGGCUUAACCUGGGAACUGCGUUUGUGACUGUAGGACUCGAAUGUGGCAGAGGGGUGGAAUUCCACGUGUAGCAGUGAAAUGCGUAGAGAUGUGGAGGAACACCGAUGGCGAAGGCAGCCCCCUGGGUCGACACUGACGCUCAUGCACGAAAGCGUGGGGAGCAAACAGG